GCUUGCUUGGUGGAUUAGUGGCGAACGGGUGAGUAACACGUGAGCAACCUGCCCUGGACUCUGGGAUAAGCGCUGGAAACGGUGUCUAAUACUGGAUAUGAGCUCUCAUCGCAUGGUGGGGGUUGGAAAGAUUUUUCGGUCUGGGAUGGGCUCGCGGCCUAUCAGCUUGUUGGUGAGGUAAUGGCUUACCAAGGCGUCGACGGGUAGCCGGCCUGAGAGGGUGACCGGCCACACUGGGACUGAGACACGGCCCAGACUCCUACGGGAGGCAGCAGUGGGGAAUAUUGCACAAUGGGCGGAAGCCUGAUGCAGCAACGCCGCGUGAGGGAUGACGGCCUUCGGGUUGUAAACCUCUUUUAGCAAGGAAGAAGCGAAAGUGACGGUACUUGCAGAAAAAGCGCCGGCUAACUACGUGCCAGCAGCCGCGGUAAUACGUAGGGCGCAAGCGUUAUCCGGAAUUAUUGGGCGUAAAGAGCUCGUAGGCGGUUUGUCGCGUCUGCUGUGAAAACCCGAGGCUCAACCUCGGGCCUGCAGUGGGUACGGGCAGACUAGAGUGCGGUAGGGGAGAUUGGAAUUCCUGGUGUAGCGGUGGAAUGCGCAGAUAUCAGGAGGAACACCGAUGGCGAAGGCAGAUCUCUGGGCCGUAACUGACGCUGAGGAGCGAAAGGGUGGGGAGCAAACAGGCUUAGAUACCCUGGUAGUCCACCCCGUAAACGUUGGGAACUAGUUGUGGGGUCCUUUCCACGGAUUCCGUGACGCAGCUAACGCAUUAAGUUCCCCGCCUGGGGAGUACGGCCGCAAGGCUAAAACUCAAAGGAAUUGACGGGGACCCGCACAAGCGGCGGAGCAUGCGGAUUAAUUCGAUGCAACGCGAAGAACCUUACCAAGGCUUGACAUACACGAGAACA
rnacentral:rRNA from 1 species